GAUGAACGCUGGCGGCGUGCCUAGUACAUGCAAGUCGAGCGAACGGACGAGAAGCUUGCUUCUCUGAUGUUAGCGGCGGACGGGUGAGUAACACGUGGAUAACCUACCUAUAAGACUGGGAUAACUUCGGGAAACCGGAGCUAAUACCGGAUGAUAUUUUGAACCGCAUGGUUCAAAAGUGAAAGACGGUCUUGCUGUCACUUAUAGAUGGAUCCGCGCUGCAUUAGCUAGUUGGUAAGGUAACGGCUUACCAAGGCAACGAUGCAUAGCCGACCUGAGAGGGUGAUCGGCCACACUGGAACUGAGACACGGUCCAGACUCCUACGGGAGGCAGCAGUAGGGAAUCUUCCGCAAUGGGCGAAAGCCUGACGGAGCAACGCCGCGUGAGUGAUGAAGGUCUUCGGAUCGUAAAACUCUGUUAUUAGGGAAGAACAUAUGUGUAAGUAACUGCGCACAUCUUGACGGUACCUAAUCAGAAAGCCACGGCUAACUACGUG
rnacentral:rRNA from 1 species